UGGAGCUCAUCGCCGGUGCUCUCACUCUCUCCCCCAAUAACACUCGUUAGUCAACCUUGUUCCAACCCUCUCUAGCAACCCCUCCGUAGGUGCCACCUCUGCGGUGUUCCCUGCAUCGGCGCUCCUUCCGUUUCUCCUGUAAACACCUAUCCCUCCUUCGGCGGUGACUCACUCUGGUAAGGCCUCCCUCGGCGCUCACUCUCUAUCGCAAACCCUCCGUCGACGCUCACUCUCUCUCGCAAACCCUCAAUCGUCACUCCUCCCUCCAUGGUUUGGCACCCGCCGAAUUGCUCUCUCCCUCUCUGAAGUCGUCGCGCCGCCGUCUCCAUCUCCGUCACUCGUCGCACCUCCGUCAGCCACGUUCAGCGUUCGCAGCACCGUGGCUAAAAGAUAUCAAUUAUUUCUUCAGGAAUUGAAACAACAAGGGAUACAAGAAGAAAGGCUGCAGCUGCUUGUUAAUGUUACUGGAGCUUUUAGGCCUGGAGUGUUGACAGCAUUGGUUGGAGUAAGCGGGGCUGGAAAAACCACGCUAAUGGAUGUCUUGGCUAGAAGAAAACUGGAGGUGUUGUUAAGCUGCUCUGCUGGCCGUGCCGGGAAACCUGCAGUUAGAUGGACUAAGAUACAAAGCUGGUUUGAGGAUAGGCUCCAAGACUUACCAGAUGACCCUAAUAAUGAAUUGAUGAUUCCCGAAGACCCUGAAUGUAAUAAGGAAGGAUUCAAUCGCAAGUGGAAUCCCUUUGGAAGAUUUUGGACAUGGUCAUCCUGAUCCUAAUCUAACGGCUGUUUUAGCUUGGCUUUCUAUUAUUGCGCACCGUAACAAAGAUAAGAAGGCAGGGGAGAAAUUGAUCUGUGGCUGAUGUUGUGAAGGAACACUGGGCAACUUAUGGAAGAAAUUUCUUUUCUAGAUAUGACUAUGAGGAAUGUGAAUCUGAAGGUGCCAAUAAAAUGGUAGCAUACCUACGAGAG